AUUGAACGCUGGCGGCAGGCUUAACACAUGCAAGUCGAGCGGGGGAGGUUGCUUCGGUAACUGACCUAGCGGCGGACGGGUGAGUAAUACGUAGGAAUCUGCCUAUUAAUGGGGGACAACAUCUCGAAAGGGAUGCUAAUACCGCAUACGCCCUACGGGGGAAAGCAGGGGAUCUUCGGACCUUGCGCUAAUAGAUGAGCCGAAGUCGGAUUAGCUAGUUGGUGGGGUAAAGGCCUACGAAGGCGACGAUCUGUAGCGGGUCUGAGAGGAUGAUCCGCCACACUGGGACUGAGACACGGCCCAGACUCCUACGGGAGGCAGCAGUGGGGAAUAUUGGACAAUGGGGGGAACCCUGAUCCAGCCAUGCCGCGUGUGUGAAGAAGGCCUUAUGGUUGUAAAGCACUUUAAGCGAGGAGGAGGCUACUGGGACUAAUACUCUUGGAUAGUGGACGUUACUCGCAGAAUAAGCACCGGCUAACUCUGUGCCAGCAGCCGCCGUAACAC
rnacentral:rRNA from 1 species